rnacentral:rRNA from 1 species
UAGCAUAUCAAUAAGCGCAGGAAAAGAAACCAACAGGGAUUGCCUCAGUAACGGCGAGUGAAGCGGCAACAGCUCAAAUUUGAAAUCUGGCCUCUUGGGGUCCGAGUUGUAAUUUGUAGAGGAUGUUUCGGGUACCGCCUCGGUUUAAAUUUCUUGGAACAGAAUGUCAAAGAGGGUGAGAAUCCCGUCUUGGACCGGCGGUAGGGCCUAUGUGAAACUCCUUCGACGAGUCGAGUUGUUUGGGAAUGCAGCUCAAAAUGGGUGGUAAAUUUCAUCUAAAGCUAAAUAUUGGCCAGAGACCGAUAGCGCACAAGUAGAGUGAUCGAAAGAUGAAAAGCACUUUGAAAAGAGAGUUAAACAGUAUGUGAAAUUGUUGAAAGGGAAGCGCUUGCAACCAGACUUGAGCGCGGCGGUUCCCCCUUGCUUCUGCUUGGGUUACUCCGCCGUGUCCAGGCCAACAUCGGUUCUGGGGGUCGGUCAAAGGCUCUGGGAAUGUAUCUACCCACGGGUAGACUUAUAGACCAGGGUGUCAUGCGACCUCCCGGGACCGAGGAACGCGCUUCGGCUCGGAUGUUGGCGUAAUGGUUGUCAGCGACCCGUCUUGAAACACGGACCAAGGAGUCUAACAUCUAUGCGAGUGUUUGGGUGUCAAACCCGGAACGCGGAAUGAAAGUGAACGGAGGUAGGAAGCUUCGGCUGCACUAUCGACCGAUCCUGAAGUUUACGGAUGGAUUUGAGUAAGAGCAUAGCUGUUGGGACCCGAAAGAUGGUGAACUAUGCCUGAAUAGGGUGAAGCCAGAGGAAACUCUGGUGGAGGCUCGCAGCGGUUCUGACGUGCAAAUCGAUCGUCAAAUUUGGGUAUAGGGGCGAAAGACUAAUCGAACCAUCUGGUAGCUGGUUCCUGC